rnacentral:tRNA from 1 species
GGAGUGGUGUCCGAGUGGUCGAAGGAGCGCGAUUGGAAAUCGCGUAUACGGCUCUAAUCGUAUCGAGGGUUCGAAUCCCUCCCGCUCCGCCA